CCUAGCGGCGGCUCAGCUUCACUUUGCCUUAUUGCUGCUGUCUAGUGACGUUUGCACCUUUUCGCUUUGCGCUUCCGGUUUGUCCAUACUCUGUCUAGCCUAUAGCAGGCUGAGUCGCAAGCGGGUCCAUAGCUGGGGGCAGGGGGGUGUGUGUGCCCAUAUGAGUGCGAGCGGGGGUUGGAGAGUCUGACUGGUCCCCCGCUUCCUAAGGGUCCCGGCGCCUAGCCUUAGAUCGGCAGGAAGUGGCUGCUGGUACGCGGCGGUGCUCCAAGCUUACGGUGCUGGGAUCGACUGAUUACUCUUUUUUAUGGUUUUAUUGUGUAAUAAAAGUGUGUGUGUG